GCCGAAGUGGCGGAAUUGGUAGACGCGCAUGAUUCAGGUUCAUGUCUCAGCAAUGGGGUGGAGGUUCGAGUCCUCUUUUCGGCACCA
rnacentral:tRNA from 1 species